rnacentral:rRNA from 1 species
UACGUAGUUAGCCGGGGCUUCUUAGUCAGGUACCGUCAUUUUCUUCCCUGCUGAUAGAGCUUUACAUCACGAAUGACUUCUUCACUCACGCGGCGUCGCUGCAUCAGGGUUUCCCCCAUUGUGCAAUAUCCCCCACUGCUGCCUCCCGUAGGAGUCUGGGCCGUGUCUCAGUCCCAAUGUGGCCGUCCGCCCUCUCAGGCCGGCUACUGAUCGUCGCCUUGGUGGGCCUCUACCCCGCCAACUAGCUAAUCAGACGCGGGCCCAUCGCAUACCACCGGAGUUUUUCACACCAAGCCAUGCGGCUCUGUGCGCUUAUGCGGUAUUAGCACCUAUUUCUAAGUGUUAUCCCCCGGUAUGCGGCAGGUUGCCCACGCGUUACUCACCCGUCCGCCACUAAGCUGUAUAUCACUAGGUUUCAAUACAGCUCCGUUCGACUUGCAUGUGUUAAGCACGCCGCCAGCGUUCAUCCUGAGCCAGGAUCAAACUCU